UACGUAGGGUGCAAGCGUUAUCCGGAAUGAUUGGGCGUAAAGCGUCCGCAGGUGGCAGUUCAAGUCUGCUGUCAAAGACCGGGGCUUAACUUCGGAAAGGCAGUGGAAACUGAACAGCUGGAGUACGGUAGGGGCAGAGGGAAUUUCCGGUGGAGCGGUGAAAUGCGUAGAGAUCGGAAAGAACACCAACGGCGAAAGCACUCUGCUGGGCCGACACUGACACUGAGAGACGAAAGCUAGGGGAGCGAAUGGG
rnacentral:rRNA from 1 species